rnacentral:rRNA from 1 species
GAUCCUGGCUCAGGAUGAACGCUAGCUACAGGCUUAACACAUGCAAGUCGAGGGGCAGCAUUUUAGUUUGCUUGCAAACUGAAGAUGGCGACCGGCGCACGGGUGAGUAACACGUAUCCAACCUGCCGAUAACUCCGGGGAUAGCCUUUCGAAAGAAAGAUUAAUACCGGAUAGCAUACGAAUAUCGCAUGAUAUUUUUAUUAAAGAAUUUCGGUUAUCGAUGGGGUAUGCGGUUCCAUUAAGUUUUGUUGGG